rnacentral:rRNA from 1 species
UACAGAGGGGGCAAGCGUUGUUCGGAAUUACUGGGCGUAAAGCGUGCGCAGGCGGUUUUGUAAGUCUGUCGUGAAAUCCCCGGGCUUAACCUGGGAAUGGCGAUGGAGACUGCAAGGCUAGAGUUUGGCAGAGGGGGGUAGAAUUCCACGUGUAGCAGUGAAAUGCGUAGAGAUGUGGAGGAACACCGAUGGCGAAGGCAGCCCCCUGGGUCAAAACUGACGCUCAUGCACGAAAGCGUGGGGAGCAAACAGG